rnacentral:lncRNA from 1 species
GCAGUAGAUAUGAAUAUGAUUCAUAAAUGAAGAGGAGUCACAUUCAACUUUUAGGUGUCAUUUAACAUGGAAAAGUAGUAAAGUUUCCCACCAUGGGCAAAUUGGUUUAUUACCUUUGGAUCAAAAAAGGAACACACAUUUAUGAUAGUCUCUCAACACUAUAUUAUUUUUCACUUUAUCUUUUAAACUAUCUUCCACCACUAUCC